rnacentral:rRNA from 1 species
UACAGAGGGUGCAAGCGUUAAUCGGAAUUACUGGGCGUAAAGCGUGCGUAGACGGUUAAGUAAGUCGGGUGUGAAAGCCCCGGGCUCAACCUGGGAAUUGCAUUCGAGACUGAAUAGCUAGGGUACGGUAGAGGGAAGCGGAAUUUCCGGUGUAGCGGUGAAAUGCGUAGAUAUCGGAAGGAACAUCAGUGGCGAAAGCGGCUUCCUGGACCAGUACCGACGUUCAGGCACGAAAGCGUGGGGAGCAAACAGG